rnacentral:tRNA from 1 species
GGAGACGUGGCUGAGUGGCUGAAAGCGCUCCCCUGCUAAGGGAGUAUGUGGAUAAUACUGCAUCGAGGGUUCGAAUCCCUCCGUCUCCGCCA